rnacentral:lncRNA from 1 species
UUGUGACAGUUACAAGAGUUGCUGAGAUGACAAAAAUCUUGGCAACUUGAGGGCCAUUGGGGGGAAGGUGCUCUGCACUAGGCUAGAAUAUCAUUGCUCAAUCUUGUCGGUGUGAUGAUUACUUUUGAUAAAUAAAUUGUCUCUAAUAUCAAGCUCUAGAACCAAGCUUACCCUUUAGAUGGAUAGAACUUGCAGAAGAUUUCUUCUUUAUCUGUCUACUGGCUUGAUUUGUGGGAGGAACUAGAGCUUAAGUGAAACACUUUGAGAAGUUAAAAUCUGUGAGAAAAAAAGAAGUAAUUAGUCUUACCU